rnacentral:rRNA from 1 species
CAGUAGCCACGGGAAUACGGAGGGGGCUAGCGUUGUUCGGAAUUACUGGGCGUAAAGCGUACGUAGGCGGCUUUGUAAGUUAGAGGUGAAAGCCUGGUGCUCAACACCAGAACUGCCUUUAAGACUGCAUCGCUUGAACGUCGGAGAGGUGAGUGGAAUUCCGAGUGUAGAGGUGAAAUUCGUAGAUAUUCGGAAGAACGCCAGUGGCGAAGGCGACAUACUGGAUCAUUACUGACGCUGAGGCUCGAAAGCGUGGGGAGCAAACAGGAUUAGAUACCCGAGUAGUCCCUGUCUCUUAUAC